GACGAACGCUGGCGGCGUGCUUAACACAUGCAAGUCGAACGAAGAGCGACGGAAGCUUGCUUCUAUCAAUCUUAGUGGCGCACGGGUGAGUAACGCGUAAUCAACCUGCCCUUCAGAGGGGGACAACAGUUGGAAACGACUGCUAAUACCGCAUACGAUCUAAUCUCGGCAUCGAGGAUGGAUGAAAGGUGGCCUCUACAUGUAAGCUAUCACUGAAGGAGGGGAUUGCGUCUGAUUAGCUAGUUGGAGGGGUAACGGCCCACCAAGGCGAUGAUCAGUAGGCGGUCUGGGAGGGAGAACGGCCACAUUGGGACGGGAAAACGGCCCAGGACGCUACGGGAAGGAGCAGGGGGGAAUCUUCCGAAAUGGAGGAAAGUCUGGCGGAGCAACGCCGCGUGAGUGAUGACGGCCUUCGGGUUGGAAAGCUCUGUUAAUCGGGACGAAAGGCCUUCUUGCGAAUAGUGAGAAGGAUUGACGGUACCGGAAGAGAAAGCCACGGCUAACUACGUG
rnacentral:rRNA from 1 species